UUAAUUCCAUACAUAUCCUCGCUCCAAUCUUAAAUUACAUAGACACCAUUUCUCAAAAAAAAAAAAAAAAUUACAUAGACACCGCUCUAAAAAUAUCAAUAUUAAAAAUACCUCUCUAAUUUGGAGAAACUAUCAUAAAUACUCAAAUUCAUAAUAAUUCAUUGAAAAACAAAAUAAAAUUUUAUUUUGCCCACUACAUAUACCAUUUUAAUUAACUCAAACAUUAUUUUAUUU
rnacentral:lncRNA from 1 species